GUAGAAACAGCUUGAUUUGGUGUUUUUGCAGAGCUGAGGAGGGAGAUGAAGGCAAUUUUGUCAGCAGCAAAUGUCAUUUAAAGGCAGAGAGAGCAAAGAUGACUCGGCUGUGGGAGGUGGGUAAUCCUGGUUCAUGUUUUUAAUGGAGAAUCCAGAGGUGGGAAAUAGCAUGUGAGAGAACCUGUGGGAAACAAGACACAGCUGGGAGACAAAGCUGAAGGAGGUCGUGGAGUUCAGGCAGAGCUUUGGGGAGGUAAUAUGCAGUCAAUACCUUGCAAUGUUGUGCUGCAGUUUCCUUCCAGUCAUACAAGCAUGGCAUACUGUAGAAGGAAACCCUGGAAAGCACAGGUCUGCAUGGGCAGGUUAAACGAUGGAGAAUUGGCUUUCAUGCUCUAGAGCACCUGCUGAUUCUCAGGGGGCAAGGGCUUGGCCAUAAUUAGAGCUCGUGCUGACAUGGAGUAGAUGUGGCGAAGAAAGUGAAUCGAGACUGAGUUUGGACUGAGAUUAUCUGAAAUCUGUUCUCAGCUCAGCUGAGAUUCUACUUGUCUCUGCUUGAAGGAAGAAGACCACAUUAUUUGUUUGUUUGGAGGAGAGGGAAUGUAUGGAACACCUUGUGAGCCAUCAAGAGCUGCUGGUAAACCAAAGUGUGUUCUCUGUUCAUCAAACUGGAAAGUCUUCGUGUUUCCUGUUGUUUUUCCUCUGGGCUUUAUAAGUAACUUGUGGAUGCAAAAAAUGUUCAAGUGCUUUAGCUCUGUUCUCAGGAUUGCAUGGUGAGUUAGCUUCUAGAACAUACAGCAGCCAAAUGACGGUUCUUUUGGUCCAUUGCCACAUUUGUUGUGGUUUCAAUGAUUCUGAAGAAAGUCCUGCAUAUUAAAAUCAUAGAAUCAUAGAACCAUAGAAUGGUUUGGGUUAGAAAGGACCUUUAAGAUCAUGUACUUCCAACCCUCCUGCUAGACCAGGUUGCUCACAGUCCCAUCCAGCCUGGCCUUGAAUAAUUCCAGAGAGAGGGCACCCACAACCUCACUGGACAAUCUGUUUCAGUGUCUCACCACCCUCAUAGUAAAGAUUUUCUUCCUGAUAUCUAGUCUAAAUCUACCCUCUUCCUUCUUAAAAUCAUUUUCCCUCAUCCUGUCGCUACCUGCCAUUAUUAAAAGUUCCUCCCCACCUUUCCUGUAGGCCCCUUCAUGUACUGGAAGGCAGCUAUGAGGUCUCCUCUUCUCCAUGCUGAAGAGCCCCAACUGACUCAUCCUGUCUCCCUAGAAGAGGUGCUCCAGACCUCUGAUCAUCUUCAUGCCCUUCUCUGGACUUGCUCCAACAACUCCAUGUCCUUCUCGUGUUGGGGCCUCCAGAACUGGAUGCAGCAAUUCAGGGGGCUCUCACAAGAGCAGAGUAGAGGGGCAGAAUCUCCUCCCUUGACCUGUUGGUCACACUUCACUUGAUGCAACACAGCAUACAGUUGGCCUUUUGGGCUGCAAGUGCACAUUGCCAGCUCCUGUUGAAUCUCUCAUCGAUCAAUACCCCCAAAUCCUUCUCAGGGCUGCUCUCAAGCCGUUCUCUGCCCAACUUGUAUCUAUUCUUCAGAUUGCCCUGACCCAGGUGCAGGAUCUUGCAUUUGGCUGUGUUUAACUCAUAGGGUUGGCAUGGGCCCACCUCUCAAGCUUGUUCAGGUCCCUCAGGAUGGCAUCCUUUUCAUCUAGCAUGUCAACUACACCACACAGCUUGGUGCUGUCUGCAGACUUGCUGAGAGUGUACUCCAUCCCGCUGCCUAUAUUGCCUACCAAAACGUUAAAAAAAAAAAAAAAAAAAAAGCAAAAAUGCAGCUAUGCAGAUUAUUUUCACCUAAAAAAGUGUAGUGAUCUCUUUACCGGAGGGAGGAAUUGCAUAAAUGGUGAAAACGAUUUUCUGUGCUCCUUGUUGAUUUAAAAAACUGAGCUAAGUUACCAUCUGUUCCUGUCUAGGGCAGCAAAUUUGGAAAAGCAUGGAAUUGUGCACAGUGUCUUCUCUCUUCAGGUGCUGGGGAAGGUACACCAGAGGAUGACCCCGGAGUGCAACCAGGACCAAGUGCUAGUGACUAGGAAGAAAAGAAGUCUCAGCUGCUUCCUGCUUCUGCUCUCUGACCCAUGAGCAAAUCUAACCAAAAAGUGGGUAAAGAUUCUGACACCAGGUGCCCAGAUCAGCAGGACUCCCAGGAGCUUCCGUUUCUCCCAGUAUUUGCUCCAGGGCAUUGCACCUCUGCUCAUUAACUGUGGGCAGAGCUGAAACACCCAGGAGAACGCUGAAUCCAUUGCAAGCCAUGCAGAACACAUUUGCUGUAGCAAUCCUACUACUGCUGUUUCGUCAGGUCAAUAUGUAAUUGCUUCUGUUGCUGGAGGGCUCCAUCAACCCCUUCAUUAAAAUGCAAAUUUCACAUUAAUUAAAAAUGCUGGGAGCAUUUGCACAAUUUAUGACCAAAUCUUUGAGUUCAGCAACUCCCACACUGGGGAGUAGCAGUAAGAAAUAUUUGAAACUGCUGAAAUAAAUCCUUAUCUCACAACACUGGGGAUGUUUUAACUGAUAAAGGAGGAUCUUCUUGGACUUCUAAAAUUAAUUUGUUCUCCCUAGACUGGAAAACACACAAGGCAAAGGGGGCUCUAUGAGAAUUCUAUUCUUAUGGAUAUUCUUACAGCUUCCUAUGGUAUAGAAAAUGUUACACAUAGGAAGAAGGAAGAAGAAAAAUCCUAAUUUAUGCUCUGAUACAGUGAGGAAGUGACCUCGUUUCUGGUCAACCUUCCCUUCCCAGUCAGAUGACAGUGUCCCCAUAUAGCUACCUUAAACUACUAACUAACUACUAACUGCUGCAGUCCCUUCAUAUCUGUUUGAACUGGAGUAGAUUCUACCAGGUCCUACCUCAUCUCCUUCGAUAGGACAAGAGGGAAUAGCUUUAAACUAAAUGAGAGGAAAUUUAGAUUAGAUGUUAAGAAGAAAUUCUUUACUCUGAGGGUGGUGAGAUGCUGGAAAUGGGCUGCCCAGAGAAUGUGAAUGUCCCAUCUCUGGAGGCAUUCAAGGCCGUGUUGGGUGGGCCUGGGCAGCAUCAGCUUGGGGGUGGCGACAUGGCAGGCCCAUGGCAGGGGAUUAGAAACUACAUGAUCUUCAAGGUCCCCUCCAACCUAAGCCAGUCUAUGCUUCUGUGAUCAAGAAUGGUGAAGUUUCUCUUUGAUGUGAUGGGAAACUGCUCCUCAUUGGCAUUGACCAUGUCAGCUGAUGAGUCCAAGACUAGAGGGAUGUAGCUGCCUGAUUCCUUUGCAUCAAGCUGGGACAUUCUCACCUGACUGAUUCUUUGAGAGAGGAGCUAGAGGGGUGCUGAGAGGACCCAGGGGGUCUGCAUCUCAUGCUCUGGAUGAUACAGGUACAGCAGGACCCAUGCUGUGCAGCUGGGAAGAUUGUGAUCCACCAAUGGGUGAAACUCUCUGUGGGACCUCAUGGCAUGUGAAAACACCACUGGCAUUUUGGUUACACAUCCUUGUAUGGCUUGAGCCCAUUCAUUUACCAGUGGUGAGGAACAUAUGUGAUUUCCCUCAGGUUAUGAGAGGCCUUUGCCAUCUCACCAUCCAAUGCUCCAUGGCUAUGACUCUUCUGUCUACUGUAAUUUGGCUAUCCCAGCUUGAAAUUCUAGUGCCUCCCCUUACCACCAUGUCUUUCCCACAAGCCUUCAGCACUUUCCAGCUAUCUGCGUCCUUCCACCUACAGGAUUUAGACCUGAUCUGUACCUCAUCUAUGCCCAAGCAAAUCACAGAAAGCACCCCCCCCCAGCUGCAAAAAUAAACCUGAUGUGCCAAAUGCCCUCCCCCUUGAAGGGAAAUCUGUGGUGAUUGCGGGCAGGGGCUCUGUGCGUGCCCAGAUCUGGUGGUGUCUCUCCAGCACCUGUUUCUGGUACGCACAUAAACCAGCAUCAAUUUUACUGAGGCAACAAUAUUUAUGACUCAUUAUAACAUUUACUGAAGUUAGCUCAGAACUCAGGGUGUUGUUAACAGCCCUGGAGAGGCUGUGUAUUUGUGUGCAUGUACACGUAUGCAUGAGCAAGAGGAAGGGAGGCAGGAACUCAG